rnacentral:rRNA from 1 species
GAUGAACGCUGGCGGCACGCUUAACACAUGCAAGUCGAACGAAGUCCAUGGAGCUUGCUCCGGAAGACUUAGUGGCGAACGGGUGCGUAACACGUGAGAAACCUGCCCCGGACUUUGGAAUAACAGUUGGAAACGACUGCUAAUACCAAAUAUCACCAUCACCUCGCAUGAGGAGAUGAUGAAAGGUCCGCCGGUCCGGGAGGGUCUCGCGGUCUAUCAGCUAGUUGGAGAGGUAACGGCUCACCAAGGCAUCGACGGAUAGCUGGUCUGAGAGGAUGAUCAGCCACACUGGAACUGAGACACGGUCCAG